GCUCAGACCUCGCCCCCUCAGUGGUCGGACCCCCGUCCCCCAGUGACAGGACUUCCCUCCUCUACGAUGGGGGGCUCAGACUACAUCCCCUGAGGGAGAAUCCCUGCUCUGUCCCUUAGUUUGAUCAUGUUCCCGCGGAGAUAGGAUCCCCCUGCUCUGCGUUGGCGCUCAGACCUCAUCCCCUUGGAGGCAGGACCACCCCGCCCUGUGGUGGAGCUCAGACCACAUCUCCUCAGAGGCAGGACCCUCACUCCAUCCCUCAGUGCAGGGCUCAGACCUCGACCCCACAGAAACAGGACUCACAGACCCUUAGGAUGUGUUUAGUGUCCCAGACACACCUGUCUAGAGCUGCUGUGAUGGUCUGGAACUCAUCCACUUCAGGGACAACUGGUCCAAGCCCAGGCCUCCAAGAGAACUGCAGUUAUCUGGCCUGGGAGCACUGCUGGAGCCAGGACUUGGAAAUGCUCUGGGUCAGUCAUAUCACAGGCAGCAUGUAUGGGAACGGUUCAACUCCAGUAUAAACCUGCAUAGUUAUACACUGCAUUACCCUCUAA